GUGGUGGAAGGCAGUUAUGGGUGCCGGCCUGACCACGCCCCUCUAGGUAAUCGCUUUCACUUGCGUUCUGGUUAGGAUGAGUAUAUAUAAAGGCUGAAGGUAAGGCGACCGGAUGUCACGCUCAGCUGUUUGCAUUUUUGUCAGUAUUGCAUUGCUGUCACACGAGAGGUAUGUACUGGCGGUCAUUAUGCUUGGUCCUAUUAUUUGGUUUUAAUCAUUCUAAUAGUUGUUUUCCGUUUAGUAUAAGCUCUUGUGAAGUUGGUAUCUGUACCGCAGCAUUCUCUAUUAGAGGAUCGCAAACUUUUAGUCUCUGGUGAUUUACGUGGCAUUCCUUGAAUCGGGAGAUUGCAGGCUCAGCUGUGCUGCAGUUCCGAUAGCUUGUUUCCACACAAAAGCUCUCUUAGGCUGGCAUUUGUUGCCGUGGUGUCCUCGGCAUCUGAGCAUUACGAACGAUUGGUUCAUUUUGUAUUAGGGAAUCGCGGUGUAAUUGAGGCGUGUGCUUUUGAUCUGCGGCUUCUGUCACAAGUGGUUGAUGGGGGCGACGGAUUCGGCCGCGGAGUAUAUGCUGUGACCCAUGCAGGCUGGUGUUUGAGUUACCCGGCAUCAUGGCUUAAGGUCCUAACACUGCUGUUUUGCUUUUUGUUUAUUUUGGAUUCUUUUGUUUAGUUUAUUUCGUUUAGGUUAGUAAUUUGUGUAUUAGCUUAUCUUUGUCUCUUUUUUUUGUGUGAUAUUUAAUAUUUUCUUGGUUUCUUUUCGUUUGCUCAUUACAACUUAUUGUUUGUUUUGCUUAUUCAUUGCAAGUUAUUAUUUGUUUUCGUUUGUUUAUUCAGUGCAAUUUAUUAUUUUCGUUUGCUUAUUGCAAUUUAUUAUUUGUGUUCUUUUGUUUAUUUAUUACAAUUUAUUAUUUGUCUUUUGCUUACUCAUUGCAAGUUAUUAUUUGUUUUCGUUUGCUUAUUCAUUGCAAUUUAUUAUUUUUGGUUUUGCUUAUUGCAAUUUACUAAUUGUUGUCUUUUGUUUAUCAUUACAAUUUAUUAUUUGUCUUUUGGUUAUUCAUUGCCAUUUAUUAUUUGUCGUCUUGUGCUUAAUUCUUUUGCUUUGGGUAAAUGUUGAGUGGUUUUCUUUGGAAGUGUUUGAUUAUUUUGUCUGUAACUUGGGGCCCUGAGGAAGGCAGACUAAGACUGAGCAGAAAUAGCCUCCCCUAAUGUGGUGUGAAUUUGCAGUGAAUCUGUUUAGGUGUUGCAGUGAUUUGGUGCACGUGUGUAUUAGUAUUAUUAUUACUUACAAGCUCUGUUUCUAGUCUGCCUCCUGGUUGUUAUACCCCAGUUUCAGGCUUGUUCAUUUUCUGUUUGAUUAGUCCUUAUUUCGUGUCAGUG